rnacentral:rRNA from 1 species
GAACGCUGGCGGCGUGCUUAACACAUGCAAGUCGAACGGAAAGGCCCUGCUUUUGUGGGGUGCUCGAGUGGCGAACGGGUGAGUAACACGUGAGUAACCUGCCCUUGACUUUGGGAUAACUUCAGGAAACUGGGGCUAAUACCGGAUAGGAGCUCCUGCUGCAUGGUGGGGGUUGGAAAGUUUCGGCGGUUGGGGAUGGACUCGCGGCUUAUCAGCUUGUUGGUGGGGUAGUGGCUUACCAAGGCUUUGACGGGUAGCCGGCCUGAGAGGGUGACCGGCCACAUUGGGACUGAGAUACGGCCCAGACUCCUACGGGAGGCAGCAGUGGGGAAUAUUGCACAAUGGGCGGAAGCCUGAUGCAGCAACGCCGCGUGCGGGAUGACGGCCUUCGGGUUGUAAACCGCUUUCGCCUGUGGCGAAGCGUGAGUGACGGUAAUGGGUAAAGAAGCACCGGCUAACUACGUG